CCAACAGGGAUUACCUCAGUAACGGCGAGUGAAGCGGUAACAGCUAAAUUUGAAAUCUGGCCUCACGGUCCGAGUUGUAAUUUGUAGAGGAUGCUUCGAGCAUGGUCUGGCCUAAGUUCCUUGGAACAGGACGUCAUAGAGGGUGAGAAUCCCGUAUGCGGCCAGGUGCCUACGCUCAUGUGAAGCUCCUUCGACGAGUCGAGUUGUUUGGGAAUGCAGCUCAAAAUGGGUGGUAAAUUUCAUCUAAAGCUAAAUAUUGGCCAGAGACCGAUAGCGCACAAGUAGAGUGAUCGAAAGAUGAAAAGCACUUUGGAAAGAGAGUUAAACAGUACGUGAAAUUGUUGAAAGGGAAGCGCUU
rnacentral:rRNA from 1 species